rnacentral:rRNA from 1 species
CCGCGCCCCGCGCCGGUCCCGCCGCCCCCGCCCGCGGACGGGUGAGUAACGCGUGAGAAUCUGCCUUUAGGUUCGGGACAACAGUUGGAAACGACUGCUAAUACCGAAUGUGUCGAAAGAUGAAAGAUUUAUUGCCUAAAGAUGAGCUCGCGUCUGAUUAGCUAGUUGGUGUGGUAAAAGCGUACCAAGGCGACGAUCAGUAGCUGGUCUGAGAGGAUGAUCAGCCACACUGGGACUGAGACACGGCCCAGACUCCUACGGGAGGCAGCAGUGGGGAAUUUUCCGCAAUGGGCGAAAGCCUGACGGAGCAACGCCGCGUGAGGGAGGAAGGCUCUUGGGUUGUAAACCUCUUUUCUAAAGGAAGAUAAUGACGGUACUUUAGGAAUCAGCAUCGGCUAACUCCGUGCCAGCAGCCGCGGUAAUACGGAGGAUGCAAGCGUUAUCCGGAAUAAUUGGGCGUAAAGCGUUCGUAGGUGGUUAUGUAAGUCUGCUGUUAAAGCGUGUAGCUCAACUACAUAUAGGCAGUGGAAACUACAAGACUAGAGUGCGUUCGGGGCAGAGGGAAUUCCUGGUGUAGCGGUGAAAUGCGUAGAGAUCAGGAAGAACACCGGUGGCGAAGGCGCUCUGCUAGGCCGCAACUGACACUGAGGGACGAAAGCUAGGGGAGCGAAUGGGAUUAGAUACCCCCA